rnacentral:rRNA from 1 species
GACGAACGCUGGCGGCGUGCCUAAUACAUGCAAGUAGAACGCUGAAGGAGGAGCUUGCUUCUCCGGAUGAGUUGCGAACGGGUGAGUAACGCGUAGGUAACCUGCCUGGUAGCGGGGGAUAACUAUUGGAAACGAUAGCUAAUACCGCAUAACAGUAGAUAUUGCAUGAUAUCUGCUUGAAAGGUGCAAUUGCAUCACUACCAGAUGGACCUGCGUUGUAUUAGCUAGUUGGUGAGGUAACGGCUCACCAAGGCGACGAUACAUAGCCGACCUGAGAGGGUGAUCGGCCACACUGGGACUGAGACACGGCCCAGACUCCUACGGGAGGCAGCAGUAGGGAAUCUUCGGCAAGGGACGGAAGUCUGACCGAGCAACGCCGCGUGAGUGAAGAAGGUUUUCGGAUCGUAAAGCUCUGUUGUAAGAGAAGAACGAGUGUGAGAGUGGAAAGUUCACACUGUGACGGUAUCUUACCAGAAAGGGACGGCUAACUACGUG